UCGUAAACCACUUUCAGCAGGGAAAGAAAUUGACGGUACCUGCAGAAGAAGGCCCGGCCAACUACGUGCCAGCAGCCGCGGUAAUACGUAGGGGCCUAGCGUUGUCCGGAAUUAUUGGGCGUAAAGAGCUCGUAGGCGGUUCGGCAAGUCGGAUGUGAAAUCUCCACGCUUAACGUGGAGGGGCCAUUCGAAACUGCUGUGACUCGAGUCCGGUAGGGGAGUGUGGAAUUCCCGGUGUAGCGGUGAAAUGCGCAGAUAUCGGGAGGAACACCAGUAGCGAAGGCGGCACUCUGGGCCGGUACUGACGCUGAGGAGCGAAAGCGUGGGGAGCGAACAGGAUUAGAUACCCUGGUAGUCCACGCCGUAAACGUUGGGCACUAGGUGUGGGACUCUAUCGACGGGUUCCGUGCCGUAGCUAACGCAUUAAGUGCCCCGCCUGGGGAGUACGGCCGCAAGGCUAAAACUCAAAGGAAUUGACG
rnacentral:rRNA from 1 species